ACUUACCUGGCUCCAUCCUGAAAGAAUGGUCCAUGCUUACCUGGGCCCAUCCUGAAGAAACAGUCCAUGCUUACCUGGGUGUAUUCUGAAGGAAUGAUGCAAAAUUACCUGGCUCCAUCCUGAAGGAAUGGUCCAUGCUUACCUGGGCCCAUCCUGAAGAAACAGUCGAUGCCUACCUGGCUGUAUUCUGAAGGAAUGGUCCACACUUACCUGGCUCCAUCCUGAAGGAAUGGUCCACACUUACCUGACUGCAUCCUGAAGGAAUGGUCCGUGCUUACCUGGGCCCAUCCUGAAGAAACAGUCCAUGCUUACCUGGCUGUUUUCUGAAGGAAUGGUCCCUGAUUACCUGGCUGCAUCCUGAGGGAGUGACCCAUAAUUAACUCACUGAAUCUUGAAGGAAUGGUCAGUGCUUACCUGGCUCCAUUUUGAAGCAAUGAUCCAUGGGUACAUGGCUGCAUCCUGAAGGAAUGAUCCAUGCCACCCUGGCAGCAUCCUAAAGAAAUGGUUCAUACUUACCUGCCUGCAUCCUGAAGAAUCGUCCCUGCUUACCUGGCGGCAUCGUGAACAAAUGGUCUACACUUACCUAGCUCCAUUCUGUAUGAAUGGUCCACACUUUUAUAGCUGCAUCCUCAAGGAAUGGUUCAUGCUUACCUGUGUGCAUCCUGAAGAAAUGGUCCAGGGUUACCUGGCUCCAUCCUGAAAAAUUGGUUUAUGUUUACCUGGCUGCAUCCAGAAGGAAUGGUCCAUGCUUAGUUGGCUCUAUUCUGAAGGAAUGUCCAAUGCUUACCUGGCUCCUUCCUGAAUGAAACAUUCACACUUACCUGGCUCCAUCCGAAAAUAAUGGCUCAUAUUUACCUAUAUGUACCCUAAAGGAAUGGUCCAUGCUUACCCGGCUCCAUGUUGAGUGAAUGGCCCAUACUUAUCUCACUCCACCGUGAAUGAAUGGCCCAUGCUUACCUGGCUCCAUUUGGAAGGAAUGAUCCAUGCUUACCUGGCUUUAUCUUGAAAAAAUGGUCCGUGCUUACCUUGCUCCAUCUGAAGGAAUGUUCCACGCUUUCCUGGCUGCAUCCUGAAGGAUUGUUCCAUGCUUACCUGGCUGCAUCCUGAAGGAAUGAUCCACACUUACCUGGCUGUAUCCUGAAAAAAAUGGUCCUUGGUUACCUGGCUGCAUUCUGAGAAAAUGGUCCAAGCUUACCUGGCUUUAUCCUAAGGGAAUGGUCCGUGCUUAGCUGGCUCCAUCCAGAAGAAAUGAUCCAUUCAGAAGAAAGGUUCAUGCUUACCUGGCUGCAUCCUGAAGAAAUAUUUCACGCUUACCUGGUUCCAUCCUGAAGAAAUGCUCCACAGUUACCUGGCUGCACCCUAAAGGAAAGGUCUGUGCUUACCUGGCUGCAUCCUGAAGGAAUUGUCCAUGCUUACUUGGCUCCAUCCUGAGGGAAUGGUCUAUGCAUACCUGGCUCCAUCCUGAAGGAAUGCUUCCUGCUUACCUGGCUACACCAUGGAGGAAUGGUUCAUACUUACUAGCCUCUAUCCUGAAGGAAUUGUCCACGCUUACCUGGCUGCAUCCUGAAGGAGUGGUCCAUGCUUACCUGGAGGCUUCACCUGGGAAAACAACCUGUUCCAUCCUCUGGCCAUUUCCAUAUUGGAUUCCUCUGAGCUAACGACCCAGGGUGAGUUGGCGAGUGGAGACCUCUGAGAGCUGAUGGUGUAGCUCCAGUCCAAAGGCCAGCAGGCUGGAGACCCAGGAAGAGAUGUUCCAGUCAGAGUCUGAAGGCAGCAGAAUGCUAAUGUCCCAGCUUGAAGGCAGCUGGGCAGGAAGAGCCAGCAUUCCAGGUGGGGGCCAUCAGCCAGCAGAGUCCCCCGUUUCUCAGAGGAGGGAUGGCCCUUUCAUUCUAUUCCAGGCUUCUCGUGGGUGGAUGAGGCCCACCCCCAUUAGGGAGGGCAGUCUGCUUUACUCAGUCUGACAAUUAAAAUGUUAAUCUCAACCAGAAACACCCCACAGACACACCCAGAAUGUCUGACCAAAUAUCUGGACACCCUGUGUCCUCAUCAAGUUGACACGUAAAAUUCACCAUCACGUCACCCCUUGUCACCUUGGCACUGAUGGGUCUCCUUAAAACCACACUUUAUCCUCAAAUAAAGAAGUUACCAAGGUCAUCAUUUCACCUAACGUGAUACAGCUAAUCCCGCAUACAACUGAAAACACACAAUCUCUUCCCCAGAAAAGGAAAUAAAGGCCUUGAGUGAGGUUUACUCUUCUUCUGAUAUUUUCAACUUAGAUUCUAUGAUGUAAAAUUCACAAUUCUUGAAUACAAUCUUAUAACCUAAAUACACCUUAUGUUACAUAACAGGAUAAGAGAGGGAAGAAAACAAAGAUAUUUGCUAUAUAAUACGCACACACAUUCAUAACAAAAUUAGGAGGAAAUUCUUCUGACUACUGCAGGCCUCACCUCAGUAAUUAGUCACCUGGAGACAAAUGUGGAAGAUAAUUUGAAGUCGUGAUAGGAGCUGUGAAGACACAGAGCCAGGCCAUACUCACCCAGCAGGACUGGGCCUCAGGGUGCCCCACAGGUGUCCCCUCAAAGCGUAGAAGCCGGGCUUUUGCCCACCAACUGCCUUCCAUAGUGCCGGUAUCUCCCCUGCAGGCCCAGCCUCUCAGGCUGCUUCAGGUGUGGGCUGUGCUCAUUCUUCUGGCUUGAGAAAAUGUCUGGAGGAAAAGUAGUGACUACGAGGUGCACACGUGAGGUGGGAUUGUGGCAGCAUUCAUGGCCAUCGUCUCAGCUCUGCAGGCGGAAUUCGAGGUGGGAUGAGGAGAUGUGUAUGGGGCAAAAGAGAUGCUUCCAUCCUCAUCUCCUGGCAAUAGCCAGAUUCCAUUUUUCUCCCCAUUGUACAGGAGGGGCACAGAAGUUCUGUAACUUGCCAGAGGUCACAAAGAUCACAAUUUGUAGAGGAAGGGUUUGACCCCAGGCAGCCAGCGAAGGAUGUAUGUGGGGAACUUGACUAAGUCAUUAAAGCAUAUGAGUUUUCUACUU